UACGGAGGGUGCGAGCGUUAAUCGGAAUUACUGGGCGUAAAGCGCACGUAGGCGGUUCUGUAAGUUGGAGGUGAAAUCCCUGGGCUUAACCUGGGCACGGCCUCCAAAACUGUAGGACUAGAGUCGAGUAGAGGGAGGUAGAAUUUCCGGUGUAGCGGUGAAAUGCGUAGAGAUCGGAAGGAAUACCAGUGGCGAAGGCGGCCUCCUGGACUCAGACUGACGCUGAGGUGCGAAAGCGUGGGGAGCAAACAGG
rnacentral:rRNA from 1 species